rnacentral:rRNA from 1 species
GCCUGAUGCAGCGACGCCGCGUGAGGGAUGACGGCCUUCGGGUUGUAAACCUCUUUCAAUAGGGACGAAGCGUGAGUGACGGUACCUAUAGAAGAAGCACCGGCCAACUACGUGCCAGCAGCCGCGGUAAUACGUAGGGUGCGAGCGUUGUCCGGAAUUACUGGGCGUAAAGAGCUCGUAGGUGGUUUGUCGCGUUGUUCGUGAAAACUCACAGCUCAACUGUGGGCGUGCGGGCGAUACGGGCAGACUGGAGUACUGCAGGGGAGACUGGAAUUCCUGGUGUAGCGGUGGAAUGCGCAGAUAUCAGGAGGAACACCGGUGGCGAAGGCGGGUCUCUGGGCAGUAACUGACGCUGAGGAGCGAAAGCGUGGGGAGCGAACAGGAUUAGAUACCCUGGUAGUCCACGCCGUAAACGGUGGGUACUAGGUGUGGGUUUCCUUCCUUGGGAUCCGUGCCGUAGCUAACGCAUUAAGUACCCCGCCUGGGGAGUACGGCCGCAAGGCUAAAACUCAAAGAAAUUGACGGGGGCCCGCACAAGCGGCGGAGCAUGUGGAUUAAUUCGAUGCAACGCGAAGAACCUUACCUGGGUUUGACAUGCACAGGACGCCGGCAGAGAUGUCGGUUCCCUUGUGGC